rnacentral:siRNA from 1 species
GGACGAGAUUGAAGCAGUGAUGCC